CAUCUCCGGGGGUAGAGCACUGUUUCGGCAAGGGGGUCAUCCCGACUUACCAACCCGAUGCAAACUGCGAAUACCGGAGAAUGUUAUCACGGGAGACACACGGCGGGUGCUAACGUCCGUCGUGAAGAGGGAAACAACCCAGACCGCCAGCUAAGGUCCCAAAGUCAUGGUUAAGUGGGAAACGAUGUGGGAAGGCCCAGACAGCCAGGAUGUUGGCUUAGAAGCAGCCAUCAUUUAAAGAAAGCGUAAUAGCUCACUGGUCGAGUCGGCCUGCGCGGAAGAUGUAACGGGGCUAAACCAUGCACCGAAGCUGCGGCAGCGACGCUGAUGCGUUGUUGGGUAGGGGAGCGUUCUGUAAGCCUGUGAAGGUGUGCUGUGAGGCAUGCUGGAGGUAUCAGAAGUGCGAAUGCUGACAUAAGUAACGAUAAAGCGGGUGAAAAGCCCGCUCGCCGGAAGACCAAGGGUUCCUGUCCAACGUUAAUCGGGGCAGGGUGAGUCGACCCCUAAGGCGAGGCCGAAAGGCGUAGUCGAUGGGAAACAGGUUAAUA
rnacentral:rRNA from 1 species